rnacentral:rRNA from 1 species
AUUGAACGCUGGCGGCAUGCUUUACACAUGCCAGUCGAACGGUAACAGGCCGCAAGGUGCUGACGAGUGGCGAACGGGUGAGUAAUGCAUCGGAACGUGCCCAGUCGUGGGGGAUAACUACUCGAAAGAGUAGCUAAUACCGCAUACGAUCUAUGGAUGAAAGCGGGGGACCGUAAGGCCUCGCGCGAUUGGAGCGGCCGAUGUCAGAUUAGGUAGUUGGUGGGGUAAAGGCUCACCAAGCCAACGAUCUGUAGCUGGUCUGAGAGGACGACCAGCCACAGGGGGAAGGAGACACGCCCCAGACCCCGAGGGGGGGCAGAAGGGGGAAAUUUGGGACAAGGGGCGCAAGCCUGAUCCAGCAAUGCCGCGGGCAGAAAGAGGGCCUGCGGUUUGAAAAUUGUUUUUGUAGGAAAGAAACGGCCUCUGUUUAAUACCGGGGGCAAAGGACGGAACGGUAAAAAUAAGCCCCGCCUAACUCCGUC